rnacentral:lncRNA from 1 species
UUAAAGACCCCGGGAUACCUAAUGUGUCGAAAGGGACGUUGAAAUCUUUCGUAUCAGCAAGGUCGUGAGGCUCUACGCUUCCAGAAGGGUUAUAAGUCAUAUUCGGUUUAGAUGCGGUCUUUCUUCUAUUCGCUCUGCUCGGAGGGGCCCUAUACCUAGCAUCUCCUUUGAACCAGAAACGGAUCCAGUCUUUCAUUCAUACACCUUGGUCAUUCGUCCAAAGGUGGUAGUAAGCGGAAAAGAGGUGCCUGCAGC